rnacentral:rRNA from 1 species
CCUUGCCAGCCCGCUCAGAAACUCAAAGGAAGUUGACGGGGCCCGCACAAGCGGUGGAGUAUGUGGUUUAAUUCGAUGCAACGCGAAGAACCUUACCUGGUCUUGACAUCCCGGAGACCCUUAGGAAACUAGGGGUGCUUCCAUCUGGAAGAAUCUGGAGACAGGUGCUGCAUGGCUGUCGUCAGCUCGUGUCGUGAGAUGUUGGGUUAAGUCCCGCAACGAGCGCAACCCUUGCCUUUAGUUGCCAGCAGUUCGGCUGGGCACUCUAAAGGGACUGCCGGUGUUAAACCGGAGGAAGGUGGGGAUGACGUCAAGUCCUCAUGGCCUUUAUGACCAGGGCUACACACGUACUACAAUGGCCGAUACAAAGGGCAGCGACACUGCGAGGUGAAGCCAAUCCCGUAAAAUCGGUCUCAGUCCGGAUUGGAGUCUGCAACUCGACUCCAUGAAGUUGGAAUCGCUAGUAAUCGUGGAUCAGCAUGCCACGGUGAAUACGUUCCCGGGCCUU